UACGGGGGGGGGCAAGCGUUGUUCGGAAUUACUGGGCGUAAAGAGCGCGCAGGCGGUCGUUCAAGUCGCGUGUGAAAGCCCCCGGCUCAACUGGGGAGGGUCACGCGAUACUGAUCGACUGGAAGGCAGGAGAGGGUAGUGGAAUUCCCGGUGUAGUGGUGAAAUGCGUAGAUAUCGGGAGGAACACCAGUGGCGAAGGCGACUACCUGGCCUGUUCUUGACGCUGAGGCGCGAAAGCUAGGGGAGCAAACGGG
rnacentral:rRNA from 1 species